rnacentral:rRNA from 1 species
AUUGAACGCUGGCGGCAUGCUUUACACAUGCAAGUCGGACGGCAGCGGGGUAGUGCUUGCACUUCUGCCGGCGAGUGGCGAACGGGUGAGUAAUAUAUUGGAACGUACCGAGUAAUGGGGGAUAACCAAUCGAAAGAUUGGCUAAUACCGCAUACGCUCUGAGGAGGAAAGCAGGGGACCUUCGGGCCUUGCGUUAUUCGAGCGGCCAAUAUCUGAUUAGCUAGUUGGUGGGGUAAGGGCCUACCAAGGCGACGAUCAGUAGCGGGUCUGAGAGGAUGAUCCGCCACACUGGGACUGAGACACGGCCCAGACUCCUACGGGAGGCAGCAGUGGGGAAUUUUGGACAAUGGGCGCAAGCCUGAUCCAGCCAUGCCGCGUGUCUGAAGAAGGCCUUCGGGUUGUAAAGGACUUUUGUUAGGGAAGAAAAAGGAGCGGUUAAUACCCGUUUCUGCUGACGGUACCUAAAGAAUAAGCACCGGCUAACUACGUG